rnacentral:rRNA from 1 species
GACGAACGCUGGCGGCGUGCUUAACACAUGCAAGUCGAACGAAGAGCGAUGGAAGCUUGCUUCUAUCAAUCUUAGUGGCGAACGGGUGAGUAACGCGUAAUCAACCUGCCCUUCAGAGGGGGACAACAGUUGGAAACGACUGCUAAUACCGCGUACGAUCUGACCUCGGCAUCGAGGAUGGAUGAAAGGUGGCCUCUAUUUAUAAGCUAUCACUGAAGGAGGGGAUUGCGUCUGAUUAGCUAGUUGGAGGGGUAACGGCCCACCAAGGCGAUGAUCAGUAGCCGGUCUGAGAGGAUGAACGGCCACAUUGGGACUGAGACACGGCCCAGACUCCUACGGGAGGCAGCAGUGGGGGAUCUUCCGCAAUGGACGAAAGUCUGACGGAGCAACGCCGCGUGAGUGAUGACGGCCUUCGGGUUGUAAAGCUCUGUUAAUCGGGACGAAAGGCCUCCUUGCGAAUAGUUAGAAGGAUUGACGGACCGAAUA